AUUUUUUAAAAAAGGUAAUUCUUAUACUAAAUUAAUGAGGUCCAUAAAGGUGUACAAGACAGAAUGAUAAAUACCCUAGCAUUCACUAAGGUUUAACAUUAGGCCUUUUUAAAGAAAAAAAAACAACAACAACAAACCCAUCCUACUAUCAGAUGCUUUCUUUUCCAUCAUCUCUGAAAGAUAGGACUGGAGUUUGAUUUUCACUUUUUCCUUUAUCAUAAAAUUACUGAUAUAGUUAACGUUUAUAAUCAAGUUCUUUACCUAAGUGAACUGAACUGCAUCCAGGCUACUAUUAAAAAAAGAAAAAGAAAAGGAACUGGAAAGGAGAGAAUUUCAAAACCUUAAUUAAUGUAUAUAGGAAAAAACAAGAACUUUCCGUUAGAUUUUCAAUGGCACUGCAUAACAAAGAGUAAGAAGUCAAGCCAUCGAAAAAGAAGAGCCCAUUAAACACCCCGUUAUUUUUGUUGUUAUCCUCAAAAAGAGCUGUUACAAAGACUGGAAAGGAAAUGAUAGUCAAACUAGGUGUUCAAAGCAUAUUAAGAUAUGUCGUCCUGCAUUUUUCCUAAGCCUCUAACCUCAGUAUAGUCAGGCCACUAAGACUCCGUUUGGCACAAAUAUUCUUUCCAUAGAAUCAUCAGGCCUUCAGAGGCUUUGUUUCCUCAGGCAGAUUCAGCAUCCCUCAGAUGUUUUGUGUAAGGCCAACUUGGCCCUGUCUGUGAAAAGCAGAAGAGGCCAUAUACCACACAGAUCUGUUUUGCUAACAAAGAUCUAGAGAACAGUGUCAGUUCAAACCCCUCACUGCAUAGGAGGUUUGGAUCAAAGAGGAAAUGCUGACAUCCAAAUAAAACAUUGAUUUUUCUAGCUUUGGCUACUUUUCUUUCAGAUUAUGGCAUACAGCUUGUGCCAGUGAUGAAGGAGAAGUAAUUGUUUUUGGUGGGUGUGCCAAUAACCUUCUUGUCCAUCACAGAGCGGCACACAGUAAUGAAGUACUCAUAUUUUCAGUUCAACCAAAAUCUCUUGUAAGGCUAAGCUUAGAAGCAGUCAUUUGCUUUAAAGAAAUGUUAGCCAACUCAUGGAACUGCCUUCCAAAACACUUACUUCACAGUGUUCAUCAGAGGUUUGGUAGUAACAACACUUCUGGCUCUUAGGUUUCAUAGAUCGUGCCUCUGAUCACCUUGCAUGGACAGCAAUUCUGUGAACAUCAGAGUGGCAUCAUUUGUAUAGUUACAUGCAUUGUGUAGCUUUGCAGCUUUUUGGUUUUAAUGUGCAUGUGAAUGGCCUAGAGAACCUAUUUUUGUGUCCAAAGUUUACAAUAAAUGUAUUUAACACCA